CAGUAGCUCAGUUGGUAGAGUCCCGGUCUCCAAAACCGGUUGUCGAGGGUUCGAGUCCUUCCUG
rnacentral:tRNA from 1 species